rnacentral:rRNA from 2 species
CAGGAUGAACGCUGGCGGCGUGCCUAAUACAUGCAAGUCGAGCGAACUGAUUAGAAGCUUGCUUCUAUGACGUUAGCGGCGGACGGGUGAGUAACACGUGGGCAACCUGCCUGUAAGACUGGGAUAACUUCGGGAAACCGAAGCUAAUACCGGAUAGGAUCUUCUCCUUCAUGGGAGAUGAUUGAAAGAUGGUUUCGGCUAUCACUUACAGAUGGGCCCGCGGUGCAUUAGCUAGUUGGUGAGGUAACGGCUCACCAAGGCAACGAUGCAUAGCCGACCUGAGAGGGUGAUCGGCCACACUGGGACUGAGACACGGCCCAGACUCCUACGGGAGGCAGCAGUAGGGAAUCUUCCGCAAUGGACGAAAGUCUGACGGAGCAACGCCGCGUGAGUGAUGAAGGCUUUCGGGUCGUAAAACUCUGUUGUUAGG